rnacentral:rRNA from 1 species
AUUCCAGCUCCAAUAGCGUAUAUUAAAGUUGUUGCAGUUAAAAAGCUCGUAGUUGGAUUUCUGGUUAGAUGCGCCUGGCCCGCCGACGUUCAGUCGUGUGAAGUGCUGGUGCGCAACUGCCAUCCUUCUAGAGAAGGGACCAACGGUUCAUUCCGGUUCGGUUCACAAUCUAGAUCUUUUACUUUGAAAAAAUUAGAGUGUUUAAAGCAGGCUUUUGCUAUGAAUACAUUAGCAUGGGAUAAUAAGAUAGGACUUUGGUUCUAUUUUGUUGGUUGGAGGCCAAGGUAAUGAUUAAUAGGGAUAGUUGGGGGUAUUCAUAUUUAAUUGUCAGAGGUGAAAUUCUUGGAUUUAUGAAAGAUGAACUUAUGCGAAAGCAUUUACCAAGGAUGUUUUCAUUA